rnacentral:lncRNA from 1 species
GUCACGCUCAGUGCAAGUUAUUCUCUAACAACCAUCUGUACUCUCACCCCAGUGUCUCUACACCGCAGACUUGAGACUCAUCUGCCCUAAAAGGAGAUGAUCCAUGCAUCGAUCUCGAAUGGAUUGAUCACUGUCCUCCAUGACGAUCUUUCGAUCGAAAGUAUUUAAAAAUUAACCACUAAUGAUGUAUGUCUCAAAUUCUCAACACCUUGAGAAUAUACAAAAUUAUUUUUAUUAAUUUUUAAGAUAAAUCAUGGACACAUAUAUAUGAUUGGUUAUUAAGACUACCCAACAAGUACAAAAUAUGUCCUAGAGAAAAGUAUGUGUCAAC